rnacentral:rRNA from 1 species
AACGAACGCUGGCGGCAGGCUUAACACAUGCAAGUCGAACGCCCCGCAAGGGGAGUGGCAGACGGGUGAGUAACGCGUGGGAACAUACCCUUUCCUGCGGAAUAGCUCCGGGAAACUGGAAUUAAUACCGCAUACGCCCUACGGGGGAAAGAUUUAUCGGGGAAGGAUUGGCCCGCGUUGGAUUAGCUAGUUGGUGGGGUAAAGGCCUACCAAGGCGACGAUCCAUAGCUGGUCUGAGAGGAUGAUCAGACACACUGGGUCUGAGACACGGCCCAAACUCCUACGGGAGGCAGCAGUGGGGAACAUUGGACACUGGGCGCAAGCGUGAUCCAGCCAUGCCGCGUGAGUGAUGAAGUCCUUAGGGUUGUAAAGCUCUUUCACCGAUGAAGAUAAUGACGGUAGUCGGAGAAGAAGCCCCGGCUAACUUCGUG